AAUGAACGCUGGCGGCAUGCCUUACACAUGCAAGUCGAACGGCAGCAUGACCUAGCUUGCUAGGUUGAUGGCGAGUGGCGAACGGGUGAGUAAUGCAUCGGAACGUUCCUUUUAGUGGGGGAUAACGUAGCGAAAGUUACGCUAAUACCGCAUAUUCUCUGAGGAGGAAAGCAGGGGACCUUCGGGCCUUGCGCUAGAAGAGCGGCCGAUGUCGGAUUAGCUAGUUGGUGAGGUAAAGGCUCACCAAGGCAACGAUCCGUAGCGGGUCUGAGAGGAUGAUCCGCCACACUGGGACUGAGACACGGCCCAGACUCCUACGGGAGGCAGCAGUGGGGAAUUUUGGACAAUGGGCGCAAGCCUGAUCCAGCCAUGCCGCGUGAGUGAAGAAGGCCUUCGGGUUGUAAAGCUCUUUCGGCUGGGAAGAAAUCGCACCCUCUAAUACAGGGUGUGGAUGACGGUACCAGCAUAAGAAGCACCGGCUAACUACGUG
rnacentral:rRNA from 1 species